GGAUAUAGCUCAUUUGGUAGAGUUUGCCUCGAAAGCACAAGGCCCUGGGUUCAAUCCCCACAGCCA
rnacentral:tRNA from 1 species